rnacentral:rRNA from 1 species
AUUGAACGCUGGCGGCAUGCCUUACACAUGCAAGUCGAGCGGCAGCACGGGGGCAACCCUGGUGGCGAGUGGCGAACGGGUGAGUAAAGCAUCGGAACGUGCCCAGUAGUGGGGGAUAGCUCGGCGAAAGCCGGAUUAAUACCGCAUACGACCUACGGGUGAAAGCGGGGGACCGAAAGGCCUCGCGCUAUUGGAGCGGCCGAUGUCAGAUUAGGUAGUUGGUGGGGUAAAGGCCUACCAAGCCGACGAUCUGUAGCUGGUCUGAGAGGACGACCAGCCACACUGGGACUGAGGCACGGCCCAGACUCCUACGGGAGGCAGCAGUGGGGAAUUUUGGACAAUGGGCGAAAGCCUGAUCCAGCCAUGCCGCGUGCGGGAAGAAGGCCUUCGGGUUGUAAACCGCUUUUGUCAGGGAAGAAAUAUUCCGGGCUAAUACCCCGGGAGGAUGACGGUACCUGAAGAAUAAGCACCGGCUAACUACGUGCCAGCCGCCGCGGUAA